UAGGCCCUGAAUCAAGACCAGUGCUCGCUGUAGCUACUGGUUUCAAACAGGAGCCUAGAGUAAUAUCUUUCUUUGGUCUGUAGGCUAUUCAUUGUUGCAUGAGAAUGGCCCAUUUAUUAGGAAGAAACAUAG
ensembl:snoRNA